UACGUAGGGUGCGAGCGUUAAUCGGAAUUACUGGGCGUAAAGCGUGCGCAGGCGGUUUUGUAAGCCAGAUGUGAAAUCCCCGGGCUCAACCUGGGAAUGGCAUUUGGGACUGCAAGGCUCGAGUUUGGCAGAGGAGACUGGAAUUCCUGGUGUAGCAGUGAAAUGCGUAGAUAUCAGGAGGAAUACCGAUGGCGAAGGCAGGUCUCUGGGCCAUAACUGACGCUGAGAAGCGAAAGCAUGGGGAGCGAACAGG
rnacentral:rRNA from 1 species